AUGGAUCCAGGAAACUACACAGGAAUUUCAGAGUUUCUUCUUUUGGGAUUAUCCGAGGAACCAGAACUGCAGCCCCUCAUUUGGGGCUUUUCCUCUUUAUGUACCUGAUCACUGUGUUUGGAAACCUGCUCAUCAUUCUGACUGUCAACUCUGACUCCCACCUCCACACACCCAUGUACUUCUUCCUCUCCAACCUGUCCUUCUCUGACAUCUGUUUCACCUCCACCACCAUCCCCAAGAUGCUGUGGAACAUCCAGACUCAGAGCAAAGUGAUCACUUAUGAAGGCUGCCUCAGCCAGAUGUACUUUUUCACUCUCUUUGUAGGAUUAGACAACUUUCUCUUGACUGUGAUGGCUUAUGACCGCUUUGUGGCCAUCUGUCAUCCACUAAACUACAUGAUCAUCAUGAACUCCUGGCUCUGUGGACUGCUGGUUCUGGUGUCCUGGUUCCUGAGUGUCUUGCAUUCCACAUUACAAACCUCAAUGGUGUUGCAGCUGUCCUUCUGUAGAGUCUUAAAAAUCCCCCACUUUUUCUGUGAACUCAAACAGAUGAUACAACUUGCUUGUUCUGACACCUUUCUCAAUAACAUGGUGAUGUAUUUUGCAGUUAUGUUGCUGGCUGUUGUUCCCUUUGCAGGGAUCAUUUACUCUUACUGUAAGAUAAUUUCCUCCAUAUAUGGGAUCUCAUCAGCUCAGGGCAAGUAUAAAGCAUUUUCCACCUGUGCAUCUCACCUCUCAGUUGUCUCUUUAUUUUAUUGUACAAGUCUAGGAGUAUACCUUAGCUCUGCUGCUAACCAGGGAUCCCACUCAAGUGUAGUAGCUUCAGUCAUGUACACUGUGGCCAUGCCCAUGCUGAACCCCUUCAUCUACAGCCUCAGGAACAAAGACAUAAAGGAGGCUUUGAUGCAAUUCUCUGGAAGGGCAGGUCUAAAAGGACCAAUUGUCCUGGGUAUGAAAAAUUGUGCAGAAUCACCAAGCACAUAG